AGCAGCCGCGGUAAUUCCAGCUCCAAUAGCGUAUAUUAAAGUUGUUGCAGUUAAAAAGCUCGUAGUUGAAUUUCGGGAUUGACGUGAUGGUCAUGCCUUAAGGGGUAUGAACUGUUGCUGUUGAUUUCUCACCUUCUGGAGAAACUUGAUGUCCUUUAUUGGGUGUCUUGCGGAUCCAGGACCUUUACCUUGAAAAAAUUAGAGUGUUUAAAGCAGGCAUUUUUGCUCGAAUACAUUAGCAUGGAAUAAUAGAAUAGGACGGCAUGGUUCUAUUUUGUUGGUUUCUAGGAUCACCGUAAUGAUUAAUAGGGAUAGUUGGGGGCAUUAGUAUUCAAUUGUCAGAGGUGAAAUUCUUGGAUUUAUCGAAGACUAACUACUGCGAAAGCAUUUGCCAAGGAUGUUUUCAUUAAUCAAGAACGAAAGUUAGGGGAUCGAAGACGAUCAGAUACC
rnacentral:rRNA from 1 species